CCCCGUGUGGCUCAGUUGGUUAGAGCUUGGUGUUUGCAAUGCCAGGGUUGUGGGUUCGAUUCCCACGGGGG
rnacentral:tRNA from 1 species